GGGAUGAGUAACACGUGGAUAACCUACCUAUAAGACUGGGAUAACUUCGGGAAACCGGAGCUGAUACCGGAUAAUAUAUUGAACCGCAUGGUUCAAUAGUGAAAGACGGUUUUGCUGUCACUUAUAGAUGGAUCCGCGCCGCAUUAGCUAGUUGGUAAGGUAACGGCUUACCAAGGCAACGAUGCGUAGCCGACCUGAGAGGGUGAUCGGCCACACUGGAACUGAGACACGGUCCAG
rnacentral:rRNA from 1 species